rnacentral:rRNA from 1 species
UACGUAGGGGGCGAGCGUUGUCCGGAAUCAUUGGGCGUAAAGCGCGUGUAGGCGGCUCGAUAAGUCUGCUGUGAAAGUCCAGGGCUCAACCCUGGAAUGCCGGUGGAAACUGUCGAGCUAGAGUCCGGAAGAGGCGAGUGGAAUUCCUGGUGUAGCGGUGAAAUGCGCAGAUAUCAGGAGGAACACCAAUGGCGAAGGCAGCUCGCUGGGACGGUACUGACGCUGAGACGCGAAAGCGUGGGGAGCAAACAGG